UUGUAGGGAACAAUCAGCUUCUCUCCCACGGUGACCGUCUUCCUGGUCGUCAGAGCUUCAAAAAGCAUGUCCUCUCUCACCUGGCCGUAACACAGGCAACAGAACAAGUGAAGUGAAGCUCUUCUGCAGUACCUCCAGCAGCUCUGAAACAACCGGCAGCACCUCAGGGUUGCAGAUGUCGAUAGAGUCGUCCCUGUACGUCUUCUUCUUGUAGCGGAUGUUUCCCAGGUGAAGGAUGGCCGACAGCAGAGAAAAGAUCCUGACAAA